rnacentral:rRNA from 1 species
CGGCCGGGAACUCAAAGGAGACUGCCAGUGAUAAACUGGAGGAAGGUGGGGAUGACGUCAAGUCAUCAUGGCCCUUACGAGUAGGGCUACACACGUGCUACAAUGGCGCAUACAAAGAGAAGCGACCUCGCGAGAGCAAGCGGACCUCAUAAAGUGCGUCGUAGUCCGGAUUGGAGUCUGCAACUCGACUCCAUGAAGUCGGAAUCGCUAGUAAUCGUAGAUCAGAAUGCUACGGUGAAUACGUUCCCGGGCCUUGUACACACCGCCCGUCACACCAUGGGAGUGGGUUGCAAAAGAAGUAGGUAGCUUAACCUUCGGGAGGGCGCUUACCACUUUGUGAUUCAUGACUGGGGUGAAGUCGUAACAAGGUAACCGUAGGGGAACCUGCGGUU